rnacentral:rRNA from 1 species
GACGAACGCUGGCGGCGUGCUUAACACAUGCAAGUCGAGCGGUAAGGCCCUUUCGGGGGUACACGAGCGGCGAACGGGUGAGUAACACGUGGGUGACCUGCCCUCAGCUCUGGGAUAAGCCUGGGAAACCGGGUCUAAUACUGGAUAUGACUCCAUGACGCAUGUUGUGGGGUGGAAAGCCUUGUGCGGCUGAGGAUGGGCCCGCGGCCUAUCAGCUUGUUGGUGGGGUGAGGCCCUACCAAGGCGACGACGGGUAGCCGGCCUGAGAGGGCGACCGGCCACACUGGGACUGAGACACGGCCCAGACUCCUACGGGAGGCAGCAGUGGGGAAUCUUGCGCAAGUGGGCGAAAGCCUGACGCAGCGACGCCGCGUGAGGGAUGACCGGCCUU